AUGCGGCUCGACAGAAGAUAGUUGAUCUUGAGGCUAAAGUUGCUGACUUGACCUCGAAGGUAGAGGAGGCGCAGGGAGAGAAGGCUGCCAAACAGCAGGUGGAGGUUGAAUUGUCUGAGGUCAAACUACAGCUGUCCAGCAAGGACAGAGAUCUCCACGCCAAGGACGCUGAGAUUGCGGAGCUCAAACGUCGCUUAAACGAGCAAAUUGACAGAUGCGAGUCGUUGGAGAUCGACCUGGAAGCCGAGAGGGUUAAGGCUGCUACGGCUGAGGAGGCGCGUGCUGUUAGCACUGCUGCGCUGAAUGUGGCCCAAACCAACUACUCCGAGGCUCAAGGCAUCGUCGAUACGCUUGUCUCAGAAGCUGAAUGGAUGCGCACUCGUGGAGUAGUGCUGGUGAGUUGCCAACUCCAUCCUGA
rnacentral:lncRNA from 1 species